rnacentral:rRNA from 1 species
CUCGAAAGCGUGGGGAGCGAACGGGAUUAGAUACCCCGGUAGUCCACGCUGUAAACGUUGUGCACUAGGUGUGAGGAGUGUCUACCCUCUUCGUGCCGUAGCUAACGCAUUAAGUGCACCGCCUGGGGAGUACGGUCGCAAGACUGAAACUCAAAGGAAUUGACGGGGGCCCGCACAAGCGGUGGAUGAUGUGGUUUAAUUCGAUGCAACGCGAAAAACCUUACCUACCCUUGACAUGCCAGGAACUGACCAGAGAUGGUUUGGUGCUCGAAAGAGAGCCUGGACACAGGUGCUGCAUGGCCGUCGUCAGCUCGUGUCGUGAGAUGUUGGGUUAAGUCCCGCAACGAGCGCAACCCUUAUCAUUAGUUGCUACGCAAGGGCACUCUAAUGAGACUGCCGGUGACAAACCGGAGGAAGGUGGGGAUGACGUCAGGUCAUCAUGGCCCUUAUGGGUAGGGCUACACACGUCAUACAAUGGCCGGUACAGAGGGCUGCCAACCCGCGAGGGGGAGCUAAUCUCAGAAAACCGGUCGUAGUCCGGAUCGCAGUCUGCAACUCGACUGCGUGAAGUCGGAAUCGCUAGUAAUCGCGGAUCAGCUUGCCGCGGUGAAUACGUUCCCGGGUCUUGUACACACCGCCCGUCACACCAUGGGAGCGGGUUCUGCCAGAAGUAGUUAGCCUAACCGCAAGGAGGGCGAUUACCACGGCAGGGUUCGUGACUGGGGUGAAGUCGUAACAAGGUAGCCGUAUCGGAAGGUUGCGGCUGGAUCACGACCUU